rnacentral:lncRNA from 1 species
UCUAGCUAUUAUAAAUAAGGCUGCUAUGAACAUAGUAGAGCAUGUGCAUCAGAAUGUAGGUACAGUAUCAUUGAAGUUCCAGAAAUUAACCUAAGAGGCCGGGCAGCUUCUACUUAAUCCAGACACCAUGGUACUACAUUUGAACAUGACUUGUCUCCUUAUAAAGCUAAUUCUUGGGGGUGGGGGGUUAGAUGGAUGAAAACUCAAUCAGAUUAUGGAGACGUGAUAGAAUUAGAUCUGAUCUUUGGAUGGAGCUUGGUAAAGUGUCUUUGUAAAAAGAGGAGGGCAGACCAAAAGAUGCCAGCAUGCAACUUGCUUUUUGGUCCUGGUGUUUCAAUGCAGCAAUAGAAACCCUAACUAAGGCAAGUUGGUACCAGGAUUGUGAGGUCUUGCUGUGAAGGACCCGACCAUGUUGGUUUGGUGAGGAUUAUGGAAGGACUUUGGAAUUUUGUGUCAUUGAGUGUUCAAGGCUUGGUUAGCUGUUCUGUAGGAGCUUGAAGACAAGAAUGUCAAGAACAAUGUAGAUACUGGAGGCCUGGCUUGUGAAGUUUCAGAGAGAAGAUUAAAGACUCUUUGGAGGCCAUUUGUUAUUUUAAAUUAAGAUUCUGUGAUCCUGGUUAGAUGGAGCUGAAGAAUAAGUUAUGGUUAACACGCUACUAGAACUACUAAAGUGAAAUCUUUGCUUUGCUGGGAUAUACAAUGCUGGUCAGCUAGAGCUGAGAAAUUAGCUGUGAUUAUGAAGAGACUAGCAUCACUGAGGUUAACACUUCUGGGAAAUGUUUCCUAAGAGUCAGCACACAGAAUCUGUGUUCCAGAGGUGGCCAACAUUGUACCUUGUGCUGGCAGCAGAACUUGGUAAUAUGUAAGAGUCACCCAAGAGGUACUGGUUAUAAAGGAUAUGAAGGAGAGGCUCAGCACUGUGAAAGACCAGGAAAGGCCAUCAGUGAAGAUACAUCCUCAGUGGCAGUUGACAGCCCAGGACUGAAGGGGUCAUACAGAGAAGCUGAGGCUUAGUAACAUGAAGACAGCCUCUAAGAGGCUAUUGAUGAAAGCACAAUCCAGUUCUAGCAGAAGACUUUAGUAGUUUGGAGGUGCCAGUACCAUGGGAUCACCACCAAAAACAGCAGUAGCAACCAGGUAGACAAUCAGAGUCUAGAAGACAAGCUGUGUGCAUUGUAGAGGUCAGAGCCAGAGAAGUGACCCACUCCCCUUUCUCGGAGAUGCCCAAAAGAUCAUGAGUAUUAGACAUUGGACAUUGAGUUCUUAACACUGUUGGAAUUUGGUUUUUGAUUUGAUUUGAUUGUGACUGUGCCUGCCCUGGUUCUUCCCUCUUGAAGUAAGAAAGUAUUUAAUUUUUUAAAUUUUAUAUAACCCUACAGUUGAGAUACUUUGAAUUUUAAAAGACUUUGGAUUUUAAAAGAGAUUGGCUAUUUUAAGAGACUAAACUUUUAAUGUGUUUGAAUUUGUAAAGACUGUGGGAUUUUAAAAGUUAUUUGUAUUUUUAAUGUGAGCGGUUGGGGAUAAAUGAGGAAGGAAAGGUUGUGGCUUAACAGUGAUGUGUUUGUGUGUAAGGUUGACAAGGGGUCAAUUGUGCUGACUAGUCUUAUGUCAGCAUGACACAAGCUAGGGUCAACAUACAGGGAGGAACCUCCAUUGAGGAAAAUGCCUCCAUGAAAUUCAACUGCAAAGGCACUUUUUCAAUUAGUGGCCAGUGCUAGAGGGCCCAGCCCAUUGUGGGUGAUACCAUCCCUGGGCUGGUGAUCAUGGGUUCUAUAAGCAAGCAGGUUGAACAAACCAGGGGAAGCAAACCAGCACCCUUCCAUGGCCUAUGCAUCAGCUUCUGCCUCCAGGUUUCUGCCUUGAGUUCCUGUCUUAACUUCCUUUGAUGAUGAACAGUGAUGUGGAAGUGUAAGCCAAAUAAACCCUUUCCUCCCCACCUUGCUCUUUGGUCAUGGUGUUUCACUAAAGCGAUAGAAACCAUCACUAAGACAUGUAUGCAUGUCUACUGUCUGCUCUUACCAUACAAUAAUCGGUGUCACCUCUGGAUGCUGCCACCAAAAAGGCCAUCAAGAUUCAGGCCUUCAUUAGCCUUGGACCUCUAGUACCACAAGCCUUUCAUUUUUCCUCAGAGCCUACCCAGUCUGUAGGAUUGCACGGUUGGUAAUGGAAAGCUGGCUGAUGGGCAUUGUGAUGAGCAUGGUGAGAUGAGGGUCUCAGAAAGCAGUGGAGUUCAUAGAUCUGUGGAUCCCACAAGAGGGAAGGCGUCUGGCCAGCCCACUAGCCAUCCAGCUGUUCCAGAUGCAAGAUGUGCCAGCAAAGCCACAUGGAUGUUCCAACCCUCAGACAAACAAGGUCUCAGGAAUGAUCUAACCUGAUACCAUGUGGAAGAGCCUAACCCAGCCACCCGCAAAGACUCAUGGAAGAACCACAGUUGCUUCUUCUGUGGCUUUGGAUAACUGAAGCAUCUCACCAGCACAGACUUCCUUCCAGACCCUGGAAAGACUCACCCCUCCUGCCUCUUUGGUUCCGUUGACCGAACAAUGCCAACCAGGGUUGAUCUACAGACUCGGCUGCCAUUCACGAUGCCCUUGCUCUCCUAACCCUUAUGUACAUCUGAGGCUGAAUCCCCUGUCUCUUCUCCAGCUAUGUCCCAUUGCUCAUCACAGACGGAGAUCCCUGAGUCAAAUAUAUCUUUGCUUUUCUCUAUACGCGAAGCACGCUUGGUUUUGAUGUCAUUUGUCAGUUGGUCUAGCUAUUAGGUUAAAUGGCCAAAUCAGACCCGACUGCUAAUUUGUUGCAAGUGGCACUCCAGUGAGUGGCUUUUAUCAGUGGGGUAAUUCAAUUUCCUUUUUUAUAUUUUGUUGCUAGCCGCCAAGAGAGGUUGGUCUAGCUGGGUAGAGAAGGCUUUUCCCACUGCCGCUGUACUGGUGCUUGCUCCAUGGAGGUCCCUGGGCAAGGGGCAACCCAGAGACUUCAGAGCAUUGCCUAGCCCCAUGUCACCGUCUUCUAAGACGGCUGUACCUUGUCACACAUGCUGUGCCUUGGCUAAUCAUGUGUUGUCAUAUAAAUCAAUUACAAAAUGAUUAAUGUCAAUUUUCCUCUCAUCACAGAUGGCAGAAGGACCGAGGACCUGGGGAGAAGACAGGAGGAGACUGGGGAGGGGGGGAGGGGGAAGGAACUGCUGCCUCUUUCCCAUGGAGAGAGAAAUGCCACAGGAUCCGGGCACUCCCUACAUCUCUCCACCUUCCGCCACCCCGUGAGCCUCUGCAGGGAGAUUUUUCUGAAUAAUGGGCCAUUUUCCUGUUUUAAUCAGAUGCAAUUUUGCAAGCAGUUUUUAUGAUUUAGCAAGUCCAUUAAAACUGGCGUUUGUUCUGCUCUGACACUCGAAAGGGGCUCUGCAGAGCAUAAACAUUGGAAAUUACUUAUAGGGAGAGACAAUAUUAAAAUUCCCCAGCCCAAGCCUGUUGUCUGAGAGAUUCUGCUAUCAAGCAUCAUGCCAGCUAUCAUCAGAGGCACUGGAGAUAUAUACUGCCUCCUCUUUAUACACUGGCUGGGGGCUCAGCAACUCAGGCAGCAAUAAAGAGGCUGCUGCUUUCCUUCAACACUUUAGGCAUCCGGAGAGGAAUGGGUCUUAAAGGGAACUUGCGGGAAGAGCAGGUCGCAAGUACAGGCUGGAGAGGAGAAGGGCCAGUGAGCAUGCCUUUAAGAGCCACUGUGGAAACUGCUUUCCGGCCCACAGUGAACAAUAGGGUCUAUUGGUCCAUAAUUAAGGAGGUUGUUUUUUGUCAAUUUCAUUUGUAGUCAAUUCUCAAUUAUCCAUGUACUAACAGAUGACCUGUUCAAAUAAAAAAAC